rnacentral:rRNA from 1 species
UACAGAGGGGGCAAGCGUUGUUCGGAAUUACUGGGCGUAAAGGGCGCGUAGGCGGCCCUCUAAGUCGAACGUGAAAUCCCCGGGCUCAACCCGGGAACUGCGUCCGAUACUGGAAGGCUUGAAUCCGGGAGAGGGAUGCGGAAUUCCAGGUGUAGCGGUGAAAUGCGUAGAGAUCGGGAGGAACACCUGUGGCGAAGGCGGCCCCCUGGGCCGCGCCUGACGCUGAGACGCGAAAGCGCGGGGAGCGAACGGG